rfam:Camelus ferus unplaced genomic scaffold scaffold1113, whole genome shotgun sequence.
GAGGGUAUAUCUUAGUGGUAGAGUGUGUGCCUAGCAUGCACGAGGUCCUGGGUUCAAUCCCCAGUCCCUCCA